rnacentral:snoRNA from 1 species
UUUUUUAUUAAAAUGAUGAAAUAUCAAUGCAACAUAGAGUCAAGCUCUGAGCAUUCAUAAAAAAUAUGAUGCAUGGAAGAGACUUGCUUAUAUUUAUCUGAUUUAAAAAAA